CAAAAAAUAGUUUAAUUAGAAUACUA
rnacentral:tRNA from 1 species